GACAGAGGUGACAAGCGUUGUCCGGAUUUACUGGGCGUAAAGAGCGCGCAGGCGGUCGAUCAAGUCGAGUGUGAAAGCCCCCGGCUCAACUGGGGAGGGUCAUUCGAUACUGAUCGACUCGAAGGCAGGAGAGGGUAGUGGAAUUCCCGGUGUAGUGGUGAAAUGCGUAGAUAUCGGGAGGAACACCAGUGGCGAAGGCGACUCCCUGGCCUGUUCUUGACGCUGAGGCGCGAAAGCUAGGGGAGCAAACGGG
rnacentral:rRNA from 1 species